CAAUAACUGGUUACUACACCUGGAUAAAAUAGCAACUUGUCCAUGUCCAGAUGCCUCACCACGGCUGUGCGGGGGGCUGGUAGACUGCCUUGGUGGGUUGCUGAGUGGGCAGAGACCAGCGGUACUCUGCCCGGGUGCCAGCGCUACCACUGAAGUAGCCUGGUUGGAGCCUGGUUGUAGGAGGGGGAGACCGACUGUCUCCCCUCUGGAUACACUGCUCUGUGGCUGGGGGACAGGACUGACCGUCCCUACCCCUGGUGCUGCAAGUGCAGAGACUACGGUCCCAUCUGCAUAGUUGUGGGGCUUAACAUCUCCCCUUGGUGGGUUAGGCUGCCACUGGAGAGAGGGUGUAACAAGCUCCUCUCUCUGAACUGUAGACUGCCGCUGGGGAGAGGGGGUAACCUGCUCCUCUCCCUGACACUCUCUUUGCUGGUGGAGAGGGGGACCAACUGUCUCUCCUUUCAAUAUUUUGUCCUGCUGCUGGGGAGAAAGACAGACUGUCUCCACUUCCUGCAG